rnacentral:rRNA from 1 species
AUUGAACGCUGGCGGCAUGCCUUACACAUGCAAGUCGAACGGCAGCGGACCUUCGGGUGCCGGCGAGUGGCGAACGGGUGAGUAAUGUAUCGGAACGUACCUUUCAGUGGGGGAUAACGUAGCGAAAGUUACGCUAAUACCGCAUAUUCUGUGAGCAGGAAAGCAGGGGAUCGCAAGACCUUGCGCUGAUUGAGCGGCCGAUAUCAGAUUAGCUAGUUGGUGAGGUAAAGGCUCACCAAGGCGACGAUCUGUAGCGGGUCUGAGAGGAUGAUCCGCCACACUGGAACUGAGACACGGUCCAGACUCCUACGGGAGGCAGCAGUGGGGAAUUUUGGACAAUGGGGGCAACCCUGAUCCAGCCAUGCCGCGUGAGUGAAGAAGGCCUUCGGGUUGUAAAGCUCUUUCGCGAGGGAAGAAAGCGCACUGGUUAAUACCUGGUGUGGAUGACGGUACCUUGAUAAGAAGCACCGGCUAACUACGUGCCAGCAGCCGCGGUAAAAC